UCAGUGUUACUUUUCAUUAGCUUUGUGUAGCUACAGCAUGUCAGCUUUAUGUGUUCUUACAUAAACAUAAAGCUGUGCAUCAGAAUCAGUCAGCAGCUUCAGCCUGCAGAUAAAUGUGUGAACAAAAUAAGAAAUAUAAUCACGACAGUUGAUCAACUCCGUGUGAUCCUGAGACAUUGGUGGGAAAACUUUCUUCAUCAGUCUGACUGACAGCAAAGAGUUAGAGGAUGAAGUGUUUAAAUGAGGCUGCAGAAGAAAAUGACUGUUUGUAUUUAUGUGAGAUGGUUUGAGUUCAGCAGGUGGAAAUUCACACUGUAAGUAACUUAGAGAUAAUUAACAAAGUUUAACAGAAAACAUGAGCAUUAUGUUUCCUAUGACUUUGGAGAGAACGGUGAAAACAGUGUGUGGGUCCAUCUGUAGGGCAGCGUCAUGGUUCAGUUUCAGAAAGGAGAAGGAUUAGUUUCUGUAGCUGCUAAUAACAGAGUAAUGAGCAGAAAUGACUCGAGUAUUUGUUUGUAAAUCAUCCAGCAUUGUUGUUGUUUAUAAUGUGGUUGCAUGUUUUUCUGAACACAAAAAUAUCUUUUAAUUGAAAUCUUAAUCUUGAUCCUGGGACUCGAUCUUUCUGUCUGCUGCGAUCCGCCUCAGACCAUCAGACUAUCCUGAACCUGAUGCCAGCUGUGUGUCCUUAAAGAGUGAUCUGUCCAUGGAGCCUCCACUCUUCUUCAAAAAGCAGAUUAUUUCAGAGACGGUACAUGACAGACCAGGCUGCUGUGAGCCUGAUCACAGCUGUGUGUCUCUGAAGAGUGAUACCUCCAUGGAGCCACCGCUAUUCUUCAAGAAACCAG